rfam:Canis lupus familiaris chromosome 34, whole genome shotgun sequence.
AUGCUCACUUCAGCAGCACAUAGACUAAAAUUGGAAGGAUUCAGAGAUUAGCAUGGCUUCUCUGUAAGGAUGACACACAAGUUCAGGAAGCAUUCCAUAUUUUC